UAAGGGGGGGAUGUACGAUAGGUUGAUUGCUUCUCGGCUAUACGAGGCGUAACGGUAUCCAAAAUAUAUGCGAGUGCGUUACAGUUAGGAGAUAUCCAAGUGGAGUUGUCAUUAACGUGUCUGCUAUGCUCAAAUGCACAAGAGAAAUUUAUACAUUUGCUUACUCUUCAUUUCUACCACCAUUCUCAUAAAAUUUCGUAGCAGCACAGCUUUAGAAGGAAAUCAAGGUUGAGAUCACUUAUGUAUGUAACGGGACCAGUUUCUGCGAUGGCGUUACAAUGUUAUUAAAGAUACGAUGUAGU
rnacentral:sRNA from 1 species